ACCACUUAUAUCAAGCUUCCAAACCAGUUGUUAAUGAUAUUGGAUUAGCCAUGCCCCUUGGCUCCAAGCAGCACAGCCAGUGCAGAGUGCAGUUGAUCAGUUACAUCAGGUACACAGCAAGUUUCUUAUUUCCUUGCCACAUAUUGUUUUUUUAAAAAGGUACCCAUUUCACAUAUUCUUAUCUUUCCCCUUGUAGAUGGUAACCUCUACUUCCUAAGGUAUACCUGUAUCUAUAGCCAUUUUGGAAAUUGGUUUUGCAACAGAACAUCGAAGGAGGGUCCAUAUGUUCGUGUUUCAAGUUGUUGCACCACUGACAAAUGUAAUGGAGAAGCACCACCUUUUCCUCAGAUUUGGAAUUAGAGAAAGCUGGGAUUAGCAAUGUGGGCUCUUUCCAGAUUUUACUGAAUGCCACUUCCAAACAUCCUGAGCAAACAUGGCCAAAGGCAAGGAGUAUGGUGAUUUGACAUCCAACAACAUUUUGAAGGACCAGAUGCUGCUCAUCCUUGAUUUAAUUGCAUUUAUUCCUGAAGAAACCUGCAUGGAAUUGCAGCUUACCUGUUGUAUAAUGCAUAUAUGUAAAAGAAAUUCCACAGUGGCUCAAUGUACAUAAUGAUUUCUCUGCUUAGCUCAUGUUGGUGACUUGGUGCAGUGAUAAAAAUUUGGAAAUGGAACCUUCUCUGCAUUGUUUCUAUUCUUCUUGUAACUUGCA